rnacentral:lncRNA from 1 species
CUGCUUUCCAAAGUGGUAGUAUCAUUUUGCAUUCCAAUCAGCAAUGAAUAAGUUACUGUUGCUCCAUAUUCUCACCAGCAUUUGAUGUUGUUAGUUUUGGAUUUUGGUCAUUCUAAUAGUUUGUGUUUUGUAGAAACGUAGAACCUGAGAAAACAACUGGAAUGCGUAAGCUCAUUCUGGAGUUUGUUCUGAAGAAGUAAGGUGCAUAUGAUGGAACAGGAAGAAUGAAAAAUGCAACGAAGAAAAUAAAAUGCAACUUAAUUAUUAAAAGUGUUACUGCUGGGGCAACUGGGUCUCUUCCAACAUGCUCUGAUAAAACUGUGUCUUAGAAUCCUUCUUCUGAAGGAUGAGCACCCAAGGCAAUUAUCCAUGACUUCCAUGUCUUUCAGGUGAGGAUGUCCUAGCGUUUGAAUUCCCAUUGCUAAUUUGCAGAGGCUGAAAAGAGAUUCUGACAAAAUCCCUGGGCAUAAAAGCUGAAAGAUAAAACAUGGAAGGUGCUUGAGAAGGGACACUACUUCUAUAUGUAAAUCCUGUUAACCAGAACUGCAAAAGUACAGAUGAGCCAAGUGAAUAAGGCUCAGAGCACCAAAAAACUAUUGACAAACUCUGCCAGUUUUUAAAUUUGUGAAUUUGGUUAUAUCUAUUAUCAUCUUUGAUUCCAAGGUUUCUCCACUAUUACACAGGGACAGUAACAGAGAUCAUAUAAUCCAAUUUCACAACUGGAUUUGGGAAGAAUCAAAAUAAGAUGAUAUAUGUGGAUAUCUCUGGAGUCUGGAAAGUACUAAGAUUAAAUGAAUACAGAAAAGUGUAAAGUUAUUUUCUUAGUAUAAGUUUGAAUGUGGGUAAUAUUUACUUACUAUGGUAAGCACACUGGAAUGAAACUGUAAUGAGAUCUACAUUUAAAUCUUAUUUCUGCUACCUAUAAUAUUUAUAACAAUUUUUGAGAUGUGACACAUAUGCCCAAAACUUUACCCUUUUAAAAUGUAAACUCAUUGGUCUUUAUUAUAUUCAGAGUUGGGCAAUCACUACCACUAACUAAUUUUAGAAUAUUUCCUUAGCCUUAAAUAAAUCCAGAUACCUGUUAUUAAUCACUCUUCAUUUUCCACUCCUCUCGUCUCCUGACAAAUGCUACUGUCUAUACAGAUUUGCUAAUUUGAGGCCACACCGAUGCAAGGGGUGAACUCCCAAGACUUUGCGCAUCUCUGUCCCUGUGGCUCUGCAGAAUACAGCCCCCUCGGCUGCUUUCAGAGGCUGGCGUUGAAUGCCUACAGAUUUUCUAGGUGCAUGGUGCAAGCUGUUGGUGGAUCUACCAUCAUGGGAUCUGGAGAACAGCCGUCCUCUCCUCACAACUUCACAAGGCAGUGCCCCAGUGGGGACUCUGUGUGGGGGCUCCAACUCCACAUUUCCCCUCUGAACUAUCCUAGCAGAGGUUCUGCAUGAGGGCUCUUCCUCUGCAGCAGGCUUCUGCCUGGAUGCCUGGACAUGCAAGCAUUCCCAUACAUUCUCUGAAAUCUAGGGGGAGGCUCCCAAGCCUCAACUCUUGCUUUCUGUGUACCCACAGGCUUAACACCACAUCAAGCCGUCAAUGUGUAUACUUUGCACCCUCUGGUGCAGUGGCCUGAGAUGUAUCUGGGGCUCUUUUAGCCACAGCUGCAGCUGGAUCAGCAACCUUUAGAGACUGUGAUCUCCUGGCUGUGCACAGAGUCUGGUGUGGGGAUGGUAGUUUCUCCUUAUGAGGCAUUUUGGUCACAACAACUUAACAAUUCUAUAGGAAGUCCAAACUUUCCCUCAUCUUCUUGUCUUCUUUUGAGCCUUCCACGCUGUACUAACCUCUUCCCAUUACCUAGUUCCCAAGUCCCUUCCACAUUUUCAGGUAUCUUUAUAGCAAUGCCCCACUCCUAGUAUAUUAGUCUGUUUUCAUGCUGCUGAUAAAGACAUACCCAAGACUGGGCAACUUACAAAAGAAACAGGUUUAAUUGAACUUACAGUCAUGUGGCUGAGGAAGCCUCACAAUCAUGAUGGGAAGCAAGGAGGAGCAAGUCACAUCUUAUAUGGAUGCCAGCAAGAAAAGAGAGCUUGUGCAGGAAAACUCCCCCUUAUAAUAACCAUCAGAUCUCAUGAGACUUACUCACUAUCACUAGAACAGCACAGGAAAGACCUGCCCUUAUGAUUCAAUUACUUCCCACUUGGUCCCUCUCACAACACGUGAGAAUUCAAGAUGAGAUUUGGGUGGGGACACAGCCAAAUAAUAUCACCUAGGUACCAAUUUUCUGUAUUAGUCCGUUCUCACAUUGCUCUAAAGAACUACCUGAGACUGGGUAAUUUAUAAAGAAAAGAAGUUUAAUUGGCUCAUGGAUCUGCAGGCUGUACAGGAAGCAUAACUGGGGAGGCCUCAGGAAACUUGUAAUCAUGGAAGAAGGCAAAGAGGAAGGAGGCACAUCUUACAUGGCUGGAGCAGGAGGAUGGGGUGGGGGCAGUGCCACACACUUUUAAACAACCAGAUCUCACAAUAGCUCAUUCACUUUUAUGAGAGCAGUAAGAGGAAAAUCUGACCCCUGAUCCAGUCACCUCCUGCCAGGUUUCACCUUCAACACUGGGGAUUCCAAUUUGACAUGAGAUUUGGGCAAGGACACAAAUCCAAACAUAUCUAUUAAAAUAAGACCAUUUUAAUAUAGACAAUUAGAGUUAUCGAUUUUCUUUUAUGCACACUUUUGACUGCAUCCUAUAAAUUUUGGUAUGUUAGGCUUUUCUUUACUUUUUUCUCAAAGAAAUUAAAGUUAGAAAAGGAAAUUAGAAGUAAUUUCUUUUGUAAUAUUUUUUUCUGCCACAUAUUUUAGUUGAAUAUGUUAAUUUCCUUAUAUUUAAUUUUCUUAAUUUUUGUUAUUGGUUUCUAAUUUCAUUCUGUUGUUGCCAGAGAACAUUCAUUGUAUGAUUUUAAAUUUAUUAAAGUUUAUAUUAUGUCAAAUAUAUGUUCUAUCAUGGAAAAUGUACCUUGUACAAUUAAAAAUAUGUAUUUUAUUGUUGUUAAAUACAACGUUCUAUAGAUGUCUAUUAGGUCUAGUUGGUUUGUUGGGUUGUUUAAGUUUCCUAUUUCUUUCUCAAACUUCUGUCUUUUAAUUCUACCAAUUAUGCACAUAGGAUACAAAGUCUCCAACUACUUAUUGUUGAAUUGUCUAUUUCUCCUUUUAGUCAGUUGUUAGAUACACAUAUAUUAUAAUUGUCAUGUCUUUCUGGUGUUUUGGCUCUUUCAGCAUUUAAAAUGUCUUCUUUACCUCUAGCAACUUCUUUUUAAAUAUACAAUCUAUUUAGUUUGAUAUUUGUAUAACCACUCUUGGUCUUUUUUGAUUGCCAUCUGCAUGGAAUCCCUGUAUCCAUCCUUUCACUUUUAAAUUAUUUGAUCAUUUAAAUAUAAAGUAUGUGUUUUUCCACAGAAUAUGAUUGAAUCAUGUCUUUCUAAUGCGUUCUGCCAGCCAUUACCUUUUGAAAUAAUGUUUAAAUCAUUUAUAGUUAAUAUAAUUACUGAUUAUGUAGGACUGAUGUAUAACAUUUUGCUCUUAGUUUUUAAUAUAUUGAUGUCUUUUUUGUCUUUCUCCUCUCUUUCUGGGAUUCCCUCAUUGCCACAUUUUUUGGACUAAUACCAACAUAAUUUCCAUAGUCUGCAGACCAAUUGCUUUAAUGUAACUCUCUUUACUUCUUUCUCAUUUGUGCCUCUACUGUCAUACAAAUUAUAACUUUAAAUAUUAUAAACAUCUUAACAGUUUUAUCAUUUAAUUUAUGCCAGUGUUUUUAAGAAAGUAAGAUAUAAAAGAGUUAUAAACAGAAAUACGUUUUAUUGUCUUUUACAUUUACUUACGUAAUUAUGUUUAUUUCUUCAUGUGGAUGCAAUUUACUGUCUAAUGCACUCUCAUUUAAGCCCAAAAGAUUUUUGUUACUAUUUUACUUUAUUAGGCAAGGCUAGCAUUUAAAUCUUUGUUUUUUAAUUAUGUUAAAAUGUUGUAAUAUUCCUUUCAAUUUUAAGGAAUAAUUUUACAAAUCUAUCAUUCCUAGUUGACAGUAUCUUCCUUUCAGCACUUUGAAUGUGGUAUCCACUGUCUUCUGGCCUCCAUAAUUUCUAAUUAGAAGUCAGCAGAAUUAUUCACAGUAGCGAACACAUGGAAUCAACCUAGGUGCACAUUAAUGGUGGAAUAGAUAAAGAAAGUGUGGUACAUGUACACCAUGAAAUACUAUGCCACCAUUAAAAAGAAUAAAAUCAUGCCUUUUGCAGCAACAUGGAUGCAACCAGAAGCCACUAUCCUAAGCAAAUUAAUACAGGAGCAGAAACCCCAAUACCACACAUUAUCACUUAUAAAUGGCAGCUAAACACUGAGUACUUAUGAACAUAAAGAUGGCAAAAUAGACACUGGGGACUACUAGAGGAGACAGGGAGAGAGUGGGGAAAAGGUUGGAAAACUGCUGGGUGUCAUGCUCAUAACCUUGGUGACAGAAUCUAUAAUACCUCAAAUCUCGGCAUCACACAAUAUCCCCAUGUAACAAACCAGCAUCAUAUGUACCCCUUAGUCUAAAAUAAAAGUUGAAAUUAAAAAAAUAUCAGCUGUUGUUAUUAUUGAAGAUCCCUUGUAAUGUAAUGAAUUAUUUCUAUCUUGCUACUUUCAAUGUUCUCUCUCUUUGGUUUUUCAUAGUUUUACUAUAAUAUACCUUGCUGUGUAGAUCUUUGAAUUUAUCCUACUUGAAGUGUGUUGUACUUCUUGGAAGCAUAGGUUAAUGUUCUUUAUCAAACUUGGAAAGCUUUUGGUCAUUAUUUCUUAAAAUAUCAUUUCUUCCAUAUUCUUUUUCUCCUCUCUUUCUGGGACCCCCACUAUGCACAGGCUGACGUGAUUCCUGGUGUCCCAUAAGUCUCUGAGGCUCUAUUUAAUUUUCCUCUUUCUUUUAUUUUUUUUUCCGCAAAUAAAACAGGAACAUAUCAACUGGCUGAUCUUCGAGGUCAACAGUUGUUUAUUCUUAUUUCUUAAAUCUGCCAUUGAGCUCCUCUAAUAAAUUUUUUAAAACGUUAUAUUUUGCAGUAAUUUUAAACAUAGACUAGAGUUGCAAAAAAUAGUACAGUGAGUUCCUGUAUAUUUUUGUUCAACUUCCACUAAAU